UCCCAAACGCGCUGGCCUGAUACUCGGUGAACACGGGACGUGCGACCGUACUGGUGGCGUUCAGCAACAAGCUGCUUUCGUCCCCCGAGACCAGCGGGCUUCUCCCCAGUGGAUUUCUUCUAAACUGCAAGGCUGCAAUGCUGUCAAUUCUGUUUGGAGAAGCCAAGGACAAGCUGUCAGGUUGUGAGGUAGCCCUGGGAGAAGAAAGCCAACUGCUACACCUUG